UACGUAGGGUCCGAGCGUUGUCCGGAAUUAUUGGGCGUAAAGAGCUUGUAGGCGGUUUUGUCGCGUCUGCUGUGAAAAUCCGGGGCUCAACCCCGGACUUGCAGUGGGUACGGGCAGACUAGAGUGUGGUAGGGGAGACUGGAAUUCCUGGUGUAGCGGUGAAAUGCGCAGAUAUCAGGAGGAACACCGAUGGCGAAGGCAGGUCUCUGGGCCACUACUGACGCUGAGAAGCGAAAGCAUGGGGAGCGAACAGG
rnacentral:rRNA from 1 species